ensembl:snRNA U6 U6 spliceosomal RNA
GUGCUCAUUUUGGCAGCACAUAUUCUAACAUUGGAAUGAUAUAGAGAUUAGCAUGGCCCCGGCUCAAGGAUGACAUACAAAUUCAUGAUGUAUUCCAUAUUGGU